rnacentral:RNase_P_RNA from 1 species
UAAGUAAAUCGCCUUAUCGUUACGUCUUUGGCGUAAAGGAAAGUCCGAACACCGUAGUGCAACAUAGUGGUUAAAAGCCACCGGCCGAAAGGUUAGGAAAAGUGCAACAGAAAGAAUGUACGGGUAGUGCCGUAGUGAAAUCAGGUAAACUCUAUGUGGUGCAAUGCCAUGUAUACCAGCGUUUGAAAGUGGCACGCUUGAUUGCUGGAGGGUAGGCAGCUAAAGUUUGCUGGUAACAGUAAACGCAGAUAAAUGAUAAGGGUCGCGCCUUGGUGCGAUACAGAAUUCGGCUUAUAGAUUUGCUUAAAUA